UCGCUACGGAGUGCGGAGGCUAACGAGUCGAUCGAGCACGGCGCGGUGGUAACUCGGCACUCGCGCGGUUACCGACGCGACUCCAGGAGUCGCGCCGGCGCUGGAACGUGACUGGAGCGCCAGCGAGCGACCGCCAGCGUGAGACACGCAGUGCAUCGCGUGUCCGGAGCGCGAUUCAGUCGGUUUCGAUUCAGCGCGAGACUGCGCGGGGUCGAGCACAGCGGCGACGGCGACGGCGACGGCGACGACGACGACGACGACGAGGAGGUGGCGAUCGACGAAAAGGUGCCAAGGCUGCUGUCUCGGUGCGCUACUCGCAGUGUCCCAUCAGCGGCCCGGCCGCGCGAGUUCGACCGUUGACGUUCGUUUGUCUCACCGUUCGUCCCCGACGAGAGCGUCAAGAUUCUGCGACUCACGCUCGCCGCGAUCAGGAGGAUGACGACGGCGGUCGACAAGGAGGAAGCGAGGAAGCGGCUGACGCCGAUCCAGUGGCAUGUGACGCAGGAAAAGGGCACGGAGAGGCCAUUCACCGGCUGCUACAAUAAGUUUUACGAAAAGGGAAUGUACACCUGCGUCGUGUGCGAUCAGGAAUUGUUCUCCUCGGACACGAAGUACGACAGUGGAUGCGGUUGGCCCGCAUUCAACGAAGUGUUGGAUCAGGGACGCAUUAAACUUACCAAAGAUACCUCUCAUGAUCAGCCGAAUACUAUCAAAUUGCCACGCAGUCUCGCAUAUUCACACGCGAGCAAGUCGUCGUAACCGAGGCGUUCAACAAAACAAGAAAUAUAAAAGAUGACGGUCGCUCGAUGAUCGGGGCUUCCUGCGGUAUGCGUGACUGCGCGCUUAAGUGACAGAUGUGCACAAAGUUUUUCGGAGUAGCCGUUCACGGAGCAUACAAUUGCUACGCUACCUUGGAAGAAAUAGCGUCGAUAGCGCGUAAUUAUAGCGUACAACGCUACCAUCAGUUAUGUCAUACGUUUGUUAGCUUUAUUAUCUGGCUCCACAAACAGUCUAUAGCGGUAAAUAGCGCUAAUAGCGUCUGCGUGAACACGCUCUACAUGUUGACACACUUUAGAUAUUUUAAAGAUAUCCGAUUUGAGAAAUUUUUUAGACAUAUUUUUCGUGACAGCUUUUCGCUCUCAGAAAAAAAACAGCACACUAGAUCACAUUCUGACAUUAUCAUGUCAUCUUUUGAAAGUGUCUCUAAAUUAUCAGGCUCGGAAAUGAAAUAUUUUAGAGAGCUUACUUUAUAAUAUAUUGUUGUCUGAGUAGAAAUAACCGUGUAAUUAAAACCUAGACUGAGUAACCAGAAUUUCAACCGGUUAAAUUCUGGCUGCUUGAUAUAAUGAUAAAUAAGCGUAUCACAACGAAUCGAAAAUCGAUUCUGUAACGAAAGAAUCGAUAUGUAUACAAAAAUCGAACAGGAAAGAAUCGGUUAAGAAAAUCGAAUUUCAGAGAAAAAGUAUCGAUCUUCUGAGAAUUUGAAUCGGGAUUGUUGUUCAUCACUAAGUUUGCAAGCGCGAAAUUUUCAAUAAUCGCUCUAACGUAGCUUAAAUUCUUACAAGAUGGCCAAGCAUCGCCGGAUGACAUUUUUGUCCUCUCACGAUUACGAAUUCUCAAUACAUAGAUAUUGCUUUCUGCAGUGGCAAUUAAAUUUUUCUGCUUUUACGUUUGUUAGUUGUUACAAUCGUUAUAGCAAGUGAUAAUUGAGAUAACAACGAUACUUUGUUGUUUGCGAGUGUGUUUCGAUAUUCACAACUAAAGGUACAGACUAACAGCGUCGUAAUUAAAGGAUGCUGCGUACGUAAUGUAUCUGCACAGUAAGAUUGCAAGGUAAACGAUUGAUAUAGAAAAAGAUUUAUUCCUAUGCGUUAUUUUGUACAUGAAAGAAAACAGUACGCUUAGUCGUGAGCAAUGUUGGACGUGUCGAAAAUAACGGUUAGCAACGGUCGAGCUCGCGUGUGAAACGUAGAAAUAUUUAUCGAAAGUAAAGUAGUUUCAUAUAUGUACACGUAUCUCCCUGUUGUUGCUCAUGUAUUGGUAUCUUGUAUUGAUAUAAAGAUACAUGUUCUCUGUUACUUGAUUUCUCACGAUCGGAUCUCCGCUGUUUUAAGUUCGAUCCUCUGGACUGAAGCCCUCUUAGAGGGCUUCUGUUAGCGAUAAAAAGUCAUAUGUAAGACGAGAAGGGCGUGUCUAAUCAUCACACUCUAUUGUUCUUUCCUUCCGCCCUCCUUUGCCACUCCGCUACUACUACUACUACCACCAACCACCACUUCACUCUCACCACUGAAAAAACACCAAUGAACAAAAAUCGCGUCGCAAAAAAACGACGC
rnacentral:misc_RNA from 1 species